UACGGAGGAUGCGAGCGUUAUCCGGAUUUAUUGGGUUUAAAGGGUGCGUAGGCGGACGCUUAAGUCAGCGGUAAAAUUGCGGGGCUCAACCUCGUCGAGCCGUUGAAACUGGGUGCCUUGAGUGGGCGAGAAGUACGCGGAAUGCGUGGUGUAGCGGUGAAAUGCAUAGAUAUCACGCAGAACUCCGAUUGCGAAGGCAGCGUACCGGCGCCCAACUGACGCUGAAGCACGAAGGCGUGGGUAUCGAACUGG
rnacentral:rRNA from 1 species